rnacentral:rRNA from 1 species
CUACGGGUCGCAGCAGUGGGGAAUAUUGGACAAUGGGGGAAACCCUGAUCCAGCAAUGCCGCGUGUGUGAAGAGGGCCUGCGGGUUGUAAAGCACUUUCGGUUGGGAGGACUGCUUCUAGCACUAAUAUUGUUGGAAGUUGACGUUACCUUCAGAAGAAGCACCGGCUAACUCCGUGCCAGUAGCCGCGGUAAUACGGAGAGGUGCAAGCGUUAAUCGGAAUUACUGGGCGUAAAGCGCGCGUAGGCGGCUAGAUCAGUCGGGUGUGAAAGCCCCGGGCUUAACCUGGGAACUGCAACCGAUACUGUCUAGCUUGAGUACAGGAGAGGAGAGUGGAAUUCCACAUGUAGCGGUGAAAUGCGUAGAUAUGUGGAGGAACACCAAUGGCGAAGGCAGCUCUCUGGCCUGAUACUGACGCUGAGGUGCGAAAGCGUGGGGAGCAAACAGGAUUAGAUACCCGGGUAGUC